rnacentral:rRNA from 1 species
GUGCCAGCAGCCGCGGUAAGACGAACCGUCCAAACGUUGUUCGGAAUCACUGGGCUUAAAGGGCGCGUAGGCGGGCUGCCAAGUCAGGGGUGAAAUCUUUCGGCCCAACCGGAAAAGUGCUUUUGAUACUGGCAGUCUCGAGGGGGGUAGGGGUCGAUGGAACUAUUGGUGGAGCGGUGAAAUGCGUAGAUAUCAAUAGGAACGCCGGUGGCGAAAGCGAUCGACUGGACCUUUUCUGACGCUGAGGCGCGAAAGCCAGGGGAGCAAACGGGAUUAGAUACCCCGGUAGUCC